rnacentral:tRNA from 1 species
GUUCAUAUAGUUUAAAAUCAAAC